UACGAAGGGUGCAAACGUUGCUCGGAAUUAUUGGGCGUAAAGCGCACGUAGGCGGCUUGGCAAGUCGGAUGUUAAAUCCCUCGGCUCAACCAAGGAAGUGCAUCCGAAACUGCCGAGCUUGAGUACUUAAGAGGAUCGCGGAAUUCCCGGUGUAGAGGUGAAAUUCGUAGAUAUCGGGAGGAACACCAGUGGCGAAGGCGGCGAUCUGGGAAGAUACUGACGCUGAGGUGCGAAAGCGUGGGGAGCAAACAGG
rnacentral:rRNA from 1 species